GCUCUUCCCACUGAGCCAGCCAGGCACCCCGAUAUACUUGUACUUAUUAAUGAAGAGACACUCUACAAUGGAGAAAACUGACAGACUCUACAAUGGAGAAAACUGACAGACACCAGACAGGGUUGUGGAGCUCAAAGGCCAAGAAAGAAUUCUUGAGACAUUGUACAGUGUAACUUGAUAAAGAAAUAGAGGCCCAGAGAGAUGAAAUUACUUGCCCAAAGGUUAACAGCUAGUAAGUAACACAGCUGGGAUUAGAACACAGCUUCUAUGACUCAAGAGUCCAUGGACUUGACCAGCUGGUAAUGAUGCUUGCCAGGCCAAUAAAGAGCUCAUCUUCAAAUGGCAUCUU